rnacentral:rRNA from 1 species
GGCGAACGCUGGCGGCGUGCUUAACACAUGCAAGUCGAGCGGUAAGGCCCUUUCGGGGGUACACGAGCGGCGAACGGGUGAGUAACACGUGGGUGACCUGCCCUCAGCUCUGGGAUAAGCCUGGGAAACUGGGUCUAAUACUGGAUAUGACUCCACGGUGCAUGUCGUGGGGUGGAAAGCCUUGUGCGGCUGAGGAUGGGCCCGCGGCCUAUCAGCUUGUUGGUGGGGGAUGGCCUACCAAGGCGACGACGGGUAGCCGGCCUGAGAGGGCGACCGGCCACACUGGGACUGAGACACGGCCCAGACUCCUACGGGAGGCAGCAGUGGGGAAUCUUGCGCAAUGGGCGAAAGCCUGACGCAGCGACGCCGCGUGAGGGAUGACGGCCU